rnacentral:rRNA from 1 species
GAUGAACGCUGGCGGCGUGCCUAAUACAUGCAAGUCGAGCGAGCGGACGAGAAGCUUGCUUCUCUGAUGUUAGCGGCGGACGGGUGAGUAACACGUGGAUAACCUACCUAUAAGACUGGGAUAACUUCGGGAAACCGGAGCUAAUACCGGAUAAUAUUUUGAACCGCAUGAUUCAAAAGUGAAAGACGGUCUUGCUGUCACUUAUAGAUGGAUCCGCGCUGCAUUAGCUAGUUGGUAAGGUAACGGCUUACCAAGGCAACGAUGCAUAGCCGACCUGAGAGGGUGAUCGGCCACACUGGAACUGAGACACGGUCCAGACUCCUACGGGAGGCAGCAGUAGGGAAUCUUCCGCAAUGGGCGAAAGCCUGACGGAGCAACGCCGCGUGAGUGAUGAAGGUCUUCGGAUCGUAAAACUCUGUUAUUAGGGAAGAACAUAUGUGUAAGUAACUGUGCACAUCUUGACGGUACCUAAUCAGAAAGCCACGGCUAACUACGUG